GUGUGUGAAGCUUUGCUGAAGCUCCCCAGUCUCUGGGACUGGAUGGGAACUCAGCAACUGAGGAUCUACCCAGGAACAUGUCAGUGCUACUGUUGUACUGACUGGGUGCAGCUCUGCCAUGAGUCGGUGUGAGGACAGAGAGGAGGGAGGCCGUCCCUCUGAAAGCCCUCUGUGUGGGGACCAUGAGAGCCAGAGCACAGCUCCCAGGAGGCGGCAGCAGAGACCUGAACCCAGCUGUUUGUCCACGAAGAGUGACGGGUCUAUGGGUCAUCCUAUAACCUUUAAAUCUGAACGU